GAUGAACGCUGGCGGCGUGCCUAAUACAUGCAAGUCGAGCGAACAGACGAGGAGCUUGCUCCUCUGACGUUAGCGGCGGACGGGUGAGUAACACGUGGAUAACCUACCUAUAAGACUGGGAUAACUUCGGGAAACCGGAGCUAAUACCGGAUAAUAUAUUGAACCGCAUGGUUCAAUAGUGAAAGAGGGUUUUGCUGUCACUGAUAGAUGGAUCCGCGCCGCAUUAGCUAGUUGGUAAGGUAACGGCUUACCAAGGCAACGAUGCGUAGCCGACCUGAGAGGGUGUUCGGCCACACUGGAACUGAGAAACGGUCCAGACCCCGACGGGAGGCAGCAGUAGGGAAUCCUCAGCAAUGGGCGAAAGCCUGACGGAGCAACGCCGCGUGAGUGAUGAAGGUCUUCGGAUCGUAAAUCUCUGUUAUUAGGGCAGAACAAAUGUGUAAGUAACUAUGCACGUCUUGACGGUACCUAAGCAGAAAGCCACGGCUAACUACGG
rnacentral:rRNA from 1 species